GCAACAAGUGCUGCUGAGAAUGCCUUUGAGCGCUGGUUCACCUCACUUCCUCCAGAUGAAAUGACAGACUUUUUUUACUUUGUUACUGAAGAUAGAGGAUUUUACUAUUCCCCACCCAAACGUGAUCCCCACAUAGAUCGAUCUACUAUAAGAGGUAAAUGUCUUUUUGUAGUGUACUGUAGUUCACAGCUGUUAUUUUCUAUUUCUAUAUAUGU